rnacentral:rRNA from 1 species
UAAAUCAAUAACAAUGGAUGAUUUAGCUACAUACACGAAGAUGAACAUGGUAUAAUGUGUUAAUUAACAGAAGAUUCAAACAUUGUGACUGUUUAAUAUUUGAAUGCAAAUGCGCUCUCCGUGUUUUCGAACAAAUGAGCACAUUUCUUAUAGUAGCACUUUUGAUUCAUAUUUCAUUAGUUAUCUGAUGAUAAAUCAAAAUUUGAUCCAAAUGCUCUGUAAGAAAUGAGAAUACAUUCUAAACUGAAGCAUCUUAGUCAGAAUAGGCAGAGAAACUAACGAGGAUUCUUUCAGUAAAGGCGAUUGAAGAAAGAAAAGUUCAACUCCAAUUCUUGUAAGAGAUUUGAGGAGAAAUUAGCUUCACUGUGUAUAAAAUGUAUUGGAAAAUACUAUAAAAGAGAGUUAUAGUCUCGUAUAUACAUCAGAUUAAACGCUAGUUGAACAGAGUAGGAUAACUUGAGAAUGUUGUCUGAAGAUGGAGGCAUGUCCCUUCGAAAACUAAACAUUGUAUGUAGACUGAUAGUGAACAAGUAGCGUGAGCGAAUAAUGCAAAGCACUCUAAAUCAGAGAGUGAAAAGUGCCUGAAAUUGUUAUUGGUAUCCAUUUUAAUGGGCCCGUCUUGUAACACGGAUUAAGGAGUUUAUCUCUCAUGCGAAUUAAAAAAUGUAGAAAAAUCAACUGCUAAGAUGGCGUUAAAGCAUGAGAGAUAGAACCCGAAUGGUAGUGAACUAUACAUGUGUAGGAUGAAGUCAGGGGAAACUCUGAUGGAGGUCCGUAGCGAUAUUGAUGUGCAAAUCAUUCGUCAAACAUAUGCAUAGGUGCGAAAGACUCAUCGAACUACCUAAUAGCUGGUUUCUUCCGAAGUUUCCCUCAGGAUAGCCGCAACAUUUUUAGAUAGGAAAUGUAGAGCACUGGGUAGAGGUGUAGGGAUGCUUCGGUGUCUCAACCUAUUUCCAAACUGCGAAUUUUCCUGAUAUAAAGAUCUGCUUUAUCGGAGAUUUUUAUUUUAUUAUAUGUUGUGAGUGGGCUAAUACCGGUAAGCGGUUUUGGCGAUAAGGGAUGAACCUAAUGUUUAGUUAAGGUGCCUAAUUAUACUAACAUUAAAACCACUAAGGGAGUCUUUGUAUAUAGACAGCAGGUCGGUGACCCUAAAAGCAGGGAUCCGUUAAUGAGUGUGUUAAAACUCCCCUGCCGAAUACUCAGGCCUCGAAAAUGGAUGGCGUAAAUAGUAUAACCGAUACUAAACGGUUGACAAAUUGUCAAUGAGUAGGAAGACAUGAAAAUUUCAAUAAAGGCAAAUUGUAAAGUUUGCUGGAGGAAUUUUUAUUGCAGAUCUUAAUUGAAGUAGCGUUUAUCCAGGCUGAUAUCCUGGAGGCUGAUGAGGAGUAAGGUUUCUGGGCAACUUAAACAGACCCAGAGUUAGUCGAUCCUAACCGUGAAAUUCGGGAAAGGGUAUAUAGUUGAUAUUCUAUAACUAUAAUUGUUAUGCGGCGACGCAUUUAUAACAUCUCCACUUGAUCAUCACCGUAUGGUAGGGAUUUCUUUCCUAUAUAACCGAAUUUAUACUCCGAGAAUCAGGUCAGCUGGAGAACAGUAGUAUAAUUUGGGCAAAAUUUCCAUUUGGAAGUUUCUGGGUGUUGGUCAAGUCCAUGAAGUGAUGUUAUAACUAACAAUAUAAUCGUACUGAUAACCGCAUCAGGUCUCCGAGGUGAGAAGCCUAUGGCUUUAGGGGCGGCAUAGUUUAGGGAAUUCGGCCAAUUGGACCUGUAACUUCGGAAUAAAGGUUGGCUCUGGAGGUAUCCAGAACCGAUAGUUACAAGGGAAGCCCAACUGUUUAAUAAAAACGCAGCCUUGCGCUUGUUUCGAUUUGGAAUAUGUACGCAAGGUGAAUCCUGCUCAGUGCUGUGCCUGUUAAUAUGGAUCAACCCAACGAAGCACCGGUAAAUAGCUAGGGUAACUAUGACUCUUAUCAAAGUAGCAAAAUACCUCGUCACCUAAUUAGUGACGCGCAUGAACGGAGCUAUGAGGUUUCUACUGUCCCAAACUAUGUCCCCGCGAACCAUCAGAAGUGGGAACGGGCACUUGAUAUCCAGCGGGGAAAGAAGACCCUGUAGAGCUUCACUGUGGUCUGAUCUUGUGUGAUUUCUUUUGGGGCGCAGUCUAGGUGGGAGAGAAAUCAAGCUUGAGAAACCACUACCCGGUUUGAAAUUACGCUUAUCUACAGGAGAUAGGGUUAGAUAGCCAGUUUGGCUGGGGCGGCACACCUUCGAAAAUGCAGCGAAGGUGUUCUAAGUUGAGCUCAAUGAGGACAGAAAUCUCAUAUUGAGGAUAAGGCCAAAUGCUCAAUUUACUGUGCCUUUUUGUACUAGGAUCAGUUCCGAAAGGAAGGCCUAACGAUCCCUAAUUAGUAUCAGGGCGUGAUACUUGGGGUGACAGACAAGUUACCUCCGGGACAACUGGCUUGUGGCUGCUAAGAGAUCAAAUCGACGUAGCUUUUUGAUUCUUCGAUGUCGGCUCUUCCUAUCCUACGGUUGUAUAAGAUCGUAAGGGUUGGAUUGUUCACCCGCCCUAGGGAUCGUGAGCUGGGUUUAGACCGUCGUGAGCCAGGUUUGUUUUAUCCUACUGGAUAUUCCAUCAUAAUAGUAGUUUGAUUAAGUACGAGAGGAACUGUUGAAUCUAGCCUCUGGUUAGCAAUUAUGUGAAAGCAUAUGUUGCAGAGCUAAGCUGUCUGAGAUAAUGACUGAAGGCCUCUUAAGUCAGAACCUCAUCUAGAAAGUGAUGGUUGGAAGGUGCUCUACUGUAGAUUAGUUAGAGAAAGUAGUUGCCUUCUACAUAACUCAAUGUAUAAUACAUUGUGCCAACAAGGGUCCUGUAAGUGUUAG